CUAGAGAAAAAAUGAGUAGAGAAUGAUUUCAUAGAAUAUUUUUGUGUACCUUUAGCUUUUGUUAUCUUCUCUUUUAUAGUUGUAUGCCUUAUUAAUGGGCAAUGAUGUGCUGCAGUUCUACUCAACGGCUAGUGCAUUACAGAAUAAUUUUCUGGAGGCCACAGCUCAUUCUGUGACCGUUGGUCCAUUAGUUACGUUUUGUCAUCAAUGAUCGUAAUAAAUACGUAAUGUCUUCUCUAGGUGAAUGAAGAUCUUUGUAUAAUGACGACCAUAAAUUUCUAGUUCAUCAGCUACCCCUUUGUUCGUUAUCCCGUCUAAAAGACGAGAUUACAACAAAUUCAUCUGAUGCUUCAUAUUCUGUGUGUUGUGCAUUUAUGAGGAUUUGAUGUCUGGGCGGUUGGGCGCCACGAGUACGGCUAGGAUGUGUUUGACGUGCGAACAUGUCUCGGUUUUCUUGCGGUUUCUUUCUCCUCUGAGCUUCCUUUCUCUGUUUAGCAUUUCCUGUUGCCCAGCGUCCUCAUCUAAAGAAGAGGUACCAGCUUUGUGUAGAAAAAGUAAGGGAAUAUUUGGAGAGCAUCAAGGAUUUUGACGAGCUUGUCUCUCUUCAAUCUUUAUUUCUUCAUUUCUUGGGCUCGAAACCAUCUACUAAGGUUCAGAAAGACUUGGAAGUUGUAAAAAAGAUAAUGACAACUAGGUUUAGUAAGCAAAAAUUAGCUGAAGUUCAAGAGAAGAAGGCCAAGAGCGGGACCGCUAGUGGCCUUUUGUCCAUGAAGAAAGCUAGUGAUGUUGUUAAGAAAGAUUCCACAAAAACACCUCCUCCUACCAAGUGCCCUACCUCUCCCACUUUAUCACUAGAGAUGAUUGCCUUUGGUGGAGAGGAGAUUAGGAAAAGGAGGAAAUCUGGUGGUAAAUCUUUCCUUCAUACCUUCUAAGAUGAUGCUGAUGCAACAGCUUUGAAGACCCACGAGGCAAUUUCUAUGGACAAUCCUGAGUCCUCUGAUGGCAAAGUCAUCCAAUGAGGUGAUGUUGUCUCAUAUUCAGAAGCUUGUGCAGUAAACGUUGUAGGCCGCCAUUAAUUUUUCUUUUCCUUCACUUUAUUUCUGCUAAGGGAGGUUCUUUGUAGGUUUUGGGGGAGUCUCUACUCGUCUCUAGGAAGUUCUUGGACUUGGAAAAGAAGGUGGCUACGUCCGAGCCUUUGAUAAAGUCUUUAUCCACUGAGAAUAAGACGUUCAAGAAUAAGGUUGCCAUCCUCAUUGCUGAAGCUGAGAAUGACAAGGAGCAUGUGGCAACCUUGGAGAAAAGCCUACAAGUGGAGAAGGACUUCUGCAAGUUGAAGGACAAGUAGAUUGGGGACCUGGAGCUGAAGCUACAGAAAGUUGGGGCCAUGGCAGUACAGGAUUUUAAAGUCUUUGAUGAGUACUCUGACAAAUUAUGCAAGUACUAUUUGGAGGGCUUUGAUCUUCUCUUGAAGUGGAUGGCAAAGUAUGGAUCUUUCUGGCUUGGCUAUUAAGGACAUUGAAAAAGAGCUUAUGUCUGAUCAUCCUUCUGAGGCUACAGCAGAGAAUGUGAUGGAGGAAGCCAUAGACGUUGCUAAAGGAAUUAAGGAGGCAACAGUUGUAACCCUUGCAGACCCUAUCCCUAAUGAGCAAUAAUCUUUUAUUUUUUCUACUUUCUUGUAUUUUUUUUUUCCUUGCAAUGCAAGAACAAUAUUUCUCUUUAAA